rfam:Sclerotinia borealis F-4128 unplaced genomic scaffold scaffold00019, whole genome shotgun sequence.
GGGUGAUUGGCGCAAUGGUAGCGUGUGGACCUCCUAUUAUUAGGAAGCUUUCCAGUCUAAGGUUGAGGGUUCGAGUCCCUUGUCGCUCG